GGACACUGUUGCUCUCAUUCCGAGUUACGCUUAUAGCUUACAGUGCUAACUAUGUCGGUGGUCUCAUUGUCGUUUUCGGUUUCUUCAAGAAAACAAUUAAAUAUGCAACAUCAAAUUGCUGAUUGAAUCUGUGUGAAUGUUGUUGUCCGGCGUUGUUUGAUCUGUUCCAAUACAAUUUUUCUUGCUUGCUACGGUAAUUUCGGAAUUUUAAUUUCGAUAUAUUUGCAUUGAUAUAUGCUGGAAAAUCCAUUUUUCUCAUUCUUGUUUAUUCAAGAACAUUCAAUUUUCUGCUUUAGAAAAAUAAAACUACCCAUUUUUUGUUCUUGAUUAUUAUUAAGGAUAUUCAAUUUUUGGCUUCAAAACCAAAAGAUCCUUUUGAUUCUGUAAAGCUAAGUUUAACUGGGUAUACAAACCCUAAAAGAUUGUGAAUUGCUGCAAGUUUGAAUUUUUUUUCAUAAAAGGGGUGGAAUACGUGACCCAUAACCUAACCCUAAAAGGAUGUUUCUGUUCGAAUAUUCUUUUUUGUUGCAACAUGUUUGCAUUGAUACAUGUUGGAAUACCAAUUUUCUUAUUCUUGAUUAUUCAUGAAAAUUAAAUUUUGCAUUAAAACCAAAAAGAAUCUUAACGGGGCAAACAUGCUAUGUCCUAAGACGCUAGCAAUUUUUUUUGGAAACAAUUUUUCUCAUUCUUGGUCAUUCAAGAAUAUUCAAUCUUCUGUUCCAAAAAAAAAAGAACAUUAAAAUCGUGCAAACAUGUUGUCCCAGCAAUUUUUUUGGAAACAAUAUUCAAUGUUCAAUCUUCUGUUUGAAAAAAAAAAAGAGCAUUAAAAUUUUGGCAAUUAUGCUCUGUCCCAAUAUCCUAUUUGGUAUCCAAAUUUUGGAAGAAACUUUUUACCUUUUGGAAUAAUUCAAUUUUCUGCUUGAAAAAAAAAAAAACAUUAAAAUCGUGCAAUCAUGCCGUGUCCCAAUAUCCUAUUUGGUAUCAAAAUUUUGUAAAAAAACAAUUUCUUUUGGAAACAAUUUUUCUCAUUCUUGGUCAUUCAAGAAUAUUCAUUCAUUUGCUUGAAAAAAAAAGUACAUUAAACCCAUGCAAACAUGCUCUGCCCCAAUAUCCUAUUUGGUAUCAAAAUUUUGGAAGAAAACAAUUUUUUUUGGGAAACAAUUUUUUUCAUUCUUGGUCAUUCAAGAAUGUUCAAUGUUCUGCUUGAAAAAAAAAAAAGAACAUUAAAAUCGUGCAAACAUGCUCUGUCCCAAUAUCCUAUUUGGUAUCAAAAUUUUGGAAGAAACUUUUUACCUUUUGUUAGGAUGAUGGUGUUAUAUAAUAUUUUGUAAUUUUCAUUCCACAAAAUUUGCCCUGUCUCGUUUAUGAUUGAGUUACCUAUUUUCUAAUUUUUGAUUAUUCAAGAACAUUGAAUAUAAAAAGCAACCUUAAUUGGGCAAAAUGCUUUGUCCUAAAACCCUGUUUUGUACCAAGAUUCUGGCAGAUUUUUUAUUUGCUACACAAUGGAAUUUCAACUAUUUUGGAAUUUUGAUUCCAAAAAAUUUUGAACGGCAAAUUUUUUGUUUGUUGUGGUAAUUUUCACUUAUGUGGCAUGCUGGAAUACUCAUUUCUCAUUCUCUAUUAGUCAAGAACAUUCAAUCUUCUGCUUGGGAAAAAAAAUCCUUGGAAAACCAAUUUUCUCAUUCUUGAUUUUUCAAGAACAUUCAUCCAAUCUUCUGCAUGGGAAAACAAACUUUAAUUGAGCAAACAUUCAAUCUUCUGCAUGGGAAAACAAACUUUAAUUGAGCAAACAUUCAAUCUUCUGCUUGAGACAAGAAAUACGGUGAAUACAUGACUCUAGUACCACCUAACCCAAAAUGCUGGAAUUGAUGGAUAUGCUCUGUUACAGAAUUUCUUUUAAAGUGAUGGAUGCCUCAAUGACUUUAGAGUGAAAAUGCAUUAUGAACUCUUUAUUCAUAAUGUAGGAAAUGCAAGUGUGCUUUGUGAAUUGAUAAGUGAAAUUAUUUUCUUUUCAUUAUUUCAAAAAGGAUGGUAUACAUGAGUGCAAUGAUCCCAAAUUCGUAGAGGGUUGAUGACCCAAAAUGAUGGAUUUAAAUGUGAAAGCUAGUUGUUGCCUUAAAUGCAAAUUUAUGAGUUUUCACUCAUACAUUGAUUAAUAUCUAUUGUGAUUUGAUGACUCUAGUCCCUCUGUAACUGUAAUAUGAAGUGAUUUUGCUGAUGCAAAAUGGAGUGAAUGUUUUUGUUGUGUUAGCCUACUGAUAGGGGUUUCAUAGGAAGCCUCUAAGGAAGAAACCAAUUACUGAAGCAAAGUACAUUUGCAAAUGCAACAGAAACAAACUCUUUGGAGUAUAAACUAUUUUUUACAGCAUCUGGCAUUAUUAUGCAGACGGCUUAUGUAUUUAUACGGAUGCAUGCAUCGGGAUCAAUGGAGGAAACCAUAACAAGGUUAAGGACCUUUCUACAAUGAAUACUUAAUUUGGGGGAUUCAAUAUUUAAAUUUUUUCUUAGUGUAUGUUUUCAUUGGCUUUAUACUAGUUCUUACCUCUUAUGAAUCCUUGUUUUUGGCUUACUGUCAUAGUUUUUGGCUUACCCUAGUCUUUUUAGUAUCAUUUUUCCAAUUUGCUUGAAGCAUUUUUAAAAUCCAAUGGAACAAAUGGUUUGUAUUUACAGCUUUUUAGUAUCAUUUUACCAAUUUGCGUGAAGCAUUUUUAAAAUUCAAUGAAACAAAUGGUUUGUAUUACAAUCAUUUUCUGUUUGUCUCCAAAAAUUGGCAAUGUCCAGAGGCAUGUGACACAUACCAUUCAUCACUUUGAAUCCAUUUGUAGUAUCCUUCACUAAAAGUUUCCUCAUCUAAAGUGAGCUCCCAUUUUAGAGUGUAACAGUAAGAUGUUACCUUUUGAUGUAAAACGUGACAGUUAAUAUUUGAAAGGAGUUGCUUCUUAAUUUUCUUGAUUUCGACGCCGACAAUGCUCUGCACAAAAUUUCUAUCAGUUUUUUUCCUCAGACAUUCUCCAUUUCAUUAUGAUUGACAAUUUGAUGUUCAGGAUAGUAUCUUCCUUUCUGCUUAUCUACUAGGUAUAUCAUGAGUUAUUUUAGAAAUUUAUGUAAUGAUCUGGACAUGAGGAAGUAUCGUUGGGAGUUGUAUAUGCUUUAGAGGAAAAUGGAAGGCGUGGUUGGAUUUAUUUGUAGCUAUGUCUUUUCCCUAAUAAUACUAGUAAUUUGUCAAUAAUUAAUAUACUAAAUGCUUAAUUUUAGUUUAAAUGUUUUAUGCACAUUUCCUUGGGAGACAUAUGGGUUGCACACUUCUUAUUUGAUAUAAAUUGUUUAGAUAUCAACCUUCUGCUGUGCAGUCAAUAGUUACUCUUGCUCUACUAGCCCUCACAUUGACCUUACUAGCAUGGUGCAUUUCUCAGUUCAGAGUUUCUAAAACAUUAAUGAAGAGUUGGAGAUGAAUAAGCAUAUCACUUCGUGAAGGCAUUAUCUCAGCAGUGUUAGAAAUAUUAUAAAAGUAGAAUGAGAUUAUGCCUAGUGAAGAAAGAGAAUGGGCAAAAUUCAAAUAUCAGUGAGAUGGAAAAAUUGAUUCUUGAGAGGAUUCAGGUAAAAUUCAAACUCAACUACAGAGAACUCAAUGAUUGAAUGAGUUCCGGUGGUGAUGAGUAAAAUGUAUACAUGUUAGACAGUUUUUACAGAGAGGAGAUAAAUUUGUUGAAAUGUGUGUUUCAUUCAUAAGACCAUUGGUUUCAUUGUAUGAGCCCUUAUAAUAAGGAGAAUAUUCCAACAACUUACCACUACACAUUUGACAACUCAUCACAUAAAACUAAAUGGAAACAAAAAACUAAUAUGUAAAUACGGUAACAAUAGGAACAUGUAAAGUCCUUAAAGUACAUUCUUGUUCUCAAGGAUGAACAUUCCCAAGUACCAUGUAAAGUUUUCCAUUUGAGUAGAACCAUAGGAACAUGAACACUUUCCAUGUUGACACAAGCUGAAAUUGUACAAAUGGUAUAGUGGAGUGCAAUUUAGGCUCUGCAACAUUUCCAAUAUCAAUCCUCAAAUUUUGUAAGGACUUCAAUAGAAGAAACUGUCCUCUAAAUAUCACUUUCCUAUGCAAAAUAGCCACUGUUUCAACAAGUUUGAAAAUUGACUGAAGACUAUACUGUGACAGACGGUCAACAUCAAAAUAUGAGUUCUGGCAUAGCUUCAACAGAAGCACUUGGAGCAAGCUGAGAAUAUUUGAAUUAGGAGGGAAUGUUGUAUGGAUUCAAAUCACUAGUAACUAUACUUGGCAGCCCUUGUAGCUUGGAUUUGUGAUUCAUGAAAAAAUGGAUUGCAACCAUACUGAUACCAGGAAGUGCUUGAAAACACUAUUUGAGAUCCCAAAAUACAACAGCAGCAAAUCAUGGGUGCAGUAGUGGAACAACCUUUGGUUCAGUAAUUUAAAACCACUUUCGUUUGUUAAUUCUCGUUCCUCGUACUCCAAGGUUUAUAGGAUAUGGGUAGAGGUCUGAAAUGGGGCAGGUUUAAGAUUGGUAUGCACAUAUUCAUAUAGGCGUUUAAGGUUUCAUGUACUUUGCUUAGGUUAGCUCCAAAUUUGUCUCAAUAUUUGAGAUAGAUUUAAGAUAUAAUUUAGUAAACCAUAAAAUAACUAUCUAUUUUGUCUAAAAUGUCUUAAAAUUUCACAUUUUGGGACACGAUUACUAACAUAUAAAUAAUAAACAAAAUCAUGUAUUUCGUAUGAAAUUUGUCUCAACUAGAGAUGGAUUUGGGACACCUGACUCUUAGAUAAUUAUUUUAUUUGAAAUCUAUUUCUAAUGUGUCCCAAAGUUUUGCAUAUAUUUAGGACAUAAUUUACUAAAACAAUAUUAUGUAUUUUAUCUGAAAUCGUUCUCAAAUAGACACAAAUUUGAGACAUGGUGUUUUACAUAGUUUAUUUACAUGAAAUUUGUUCCUAAUCUGUUCGAAAAUGUAAUAAAAUUUUAGAUGAAAACAAUUUCAUCCUAAAUUUCUGUCUAACAAGGGCAAUUUUCUAGUACUGCCUAAAUUUCACAUAUGCUAUCAGUCAACUCAUACGAGUCUUGAAAACAAACGUUGAAACCUACAGAACUGUGAGUUGAUACACAUAGUGAUGAAUCAAAGUUUAGAGAGAUUAUUAUGAUGAUGAGGCACUAUAAGAAAAUAGACAUAUACCUACAGAAACUUAUAGUAACAACAUUAAAAACUGUAGGUAUUUAUACCCACAGUUAAGUUAUUUGUUGUUGGUAUAGGUAUCUUAUACCUUCGGUGACAUAAAUUUGUCACUAAUUGUUAUUAUGACACACUUAAAUCUGUGGCUAUAGACAUCAAAAUUGAAAAAUAAAUAUUUUUUAAAGGAGUCAAAAUCUUAAUUGUUUGUGAAAAAAUAUUUGUACAAAAUUUUCAUAAUGUAAUCCAAAAAAAUUUCAAUGGAGACAAAAUUCUAAUUUUUUCAAUGCUGCCAAUUUCAGUGGAGCCAAAAUUCAAAUUUUUUCAAUGGAGCCAAAAAAAAUAUUUAAUGGAGCCAAAAUUCAAAUUUUUUCAAUGGAGCCAAAAAAUUAUUUAAUGGAGCCAAUAUGUCAGUACUGCCAACUAAACCCUUUUCCUUAAAACUAAACCCAGAACACGUUCAACUCUUUCUUUCACCCAAAACCGCUCAAUCUCUAAAUCCCUAACCUCUCAAUCUUGUGCACGUUAAACUCCUUCUCCUCUUUCACUCAAAACCUCUCAAUAUGUAAAUCCUUAAUAUCUCAAUCUCGAGCCCCAAUCCGUUGCCUUCUCCUUCUCAUCGUCGAUCAAUCCCGAGCCCAAAUUUGUUGCCUUCUCGCCUUCGUUCACUCUCGAAUUGUGACCACCGUUCUCGUCGUUGCUGUGACCGUUCUCGCCGUCGCUGUGACCGUUCUCACCAUCGCUGUGACUGUUCUCGCACCACAUCCACAACGCCAGAGUGACCACAAGCGCCACAGUGACUUGACCUUGUGACCACCGUUCUCGCACCACCGAAAGUAUUUUUAGACACGAAAAUAUUUCGAGAAGCAAUGGCUCGAAGAAGAAAAUUAAAUAUUCGACAUCGAGCAAGUGAUAAUGAAGUAAUGCAGUCUACUUCUAAUAAUACUAACUCAACCAAUGUAGAAGGAAGUAAUGUUGCAGAAGGUGUCAUACAUGAGUCUGUAGAAUCUCACUCAAUUCCCUCCGCGAUAUAGAAGCUGAAGAAGAACAAAUUGAAAAAGAAGUAGAGCCUAAACGGGCUAGAGGUCCUACAAAAAUGUUAGAUGUAUGGAAAAUGGUAGAUGGUGAUUUAAUAAUCGUUAAUUUGGAUAAAUAUGGUCGACCCAUUGGUGAGGAAGGGACAACUCUUAUCCGUUUCAUUGGUAAAUGUUUCAGGCAAAGAGUUGUUGGUUUUACAUUGCAGCUUAUUAGAGGUCUGUGGUGAUUGUUAGUAGUUGUUUAUGCAUAGAACAUAAUCCUUGAUGUUCAAUGUAUUUAUUUCAUUUCAUCUCACCUUUUUUAAGGCACUUAUCGGUGCUUGAGGUGGUUACUGCACUAUUUUUUAUCAUUUGUUUUUUAGUCUCAAUCUUUGAUUAAUAAGCAUGCAAUUGUUUUCUUCCUUGUGACUUGUGAAGUUCAAUGUAAUUGUUAUUCAUGUUAUUUCUGAAUGUUUAAUUAUACCUUGUAA